rnacentral:rRNA from 1 species
UACGGAGGGGGCUAGCGUUAUUCGGAAUCAUUGGGCGUAAAGCGCGCGUAGGCGGCCAGAUAAGUCCGGUGUGAAAGUCACAGGCUCAACCUGUGAAUGCCGCUGGAAACUGCCUGGCUUGAGUCCGGAAGGGGCGAGUGGAAUUCCUGGUGUAGCGGUGAAAUGCGCAGAUAUCAGGAGGAACACCAAUGGCGAAGGCAGCUCGCUGGAACGGUACUGACGCUGAGGCGCGAAAGCGUGGGGAGCGAACAGG